UACGGAGGGUGCGAGCGUUUGUCCGGAAUCACUGGGCGUAAAGGGCGCGUAGGCGGCUCAUGAAGGCUGUGGUGAAAGUCCGGGGCUCAACCUCGGAUCGGCCGUGGCGACUCGUGGGCUGGAGCACUGUAGAGGCGGGUGGAAUUCCGGGUGUAGCGGUGGAAUGCGUAGAGAUCCGGAAGGAACACCAGUGGCGAAGGCGGCUACCUGGCCUAAUACUGACACUGAGGCACGAAAGCGUGGGGAGCGAACAGG
rnacentral:rRNA from 1 species